rnacentral:tmRNA from 1 species
GGGGUUUUCAUUAACGUGUAAAUCCCUAUAUCGGCGAGGCCGGGUUCGCCCGGCUAUGGUGAUAAAGUGCGGCGUGAAAUAGAUGCAGCGGACCCGGGGGCAGUACCCGGCGGCUCCACCACAACCUGCUGAAAAGGCUGGUUAUGACGGGGCCGAACCAGGAUCGACGUGUAUUGAAAGGCGCUGUUUUUGCCCGGGCUGAGUAACCCGUAAAAGGCUCAAAACCACAAGUGCUAACGAUAACGAAGCACUCGCAAUUGCGGCCUAACCCAAGACUUAACGGUCUAGGUUAGAACGACGAAAGCGCGGUUCGGGCUGCACCGGGCAACAGAAGCAGAUUCCG